AGCUUUGCGCAGUGACGAUAUCAUCACCAAUGAGGUUCAUCCGAGGUGCGUUUAUUGCUUGUUGAAAGCAAAAAAUAGGUUGUAGAAUUUUGAGGAACUUCAUAGAGCUUCAAGAAAAAUUGAAUAAUUUUUGAAAACUUCGUAG